rnacentral:RNase_P_RNA from 3 species
UUCUUGCGCUGGAUUGCUGCUCCGACAUUUUUUGUCGGGGAGGAAAGUCCGAACACUUGCCGCUUUCGGGCGGCAGCAGGGUAGCGGGUAACGCCCGUCGCGUCCGUGGUACGACGGCGCCGAGGUGCGAGCAGAGACGCCGAGGUGCGAAAGCGCCGAGGCGCCGAGCACUAAAUGAAUUUAGUGCUCGGCGAGUCCCGAUGGCAACGUCGGGGGUGAAACGGCUAAAUCCUUACCUGAGUGCAAGGCCGUGUCCCGACUUCGGUCGGGAAGUGCCGCUUGAGCCGUGCAGUAAUGUACGGCCCAGAUAAAUAGCGAUCCAUUGAGUGCCGCAAGGUGCUCGAGGACAGAAUUCGGCUUAUAGGCGCAAGCGUACC